UAGAAGACCCUCUGUGAGGAGGAAGACUGUGCAUCGUGCCAGUAAUCAGCACCAGGUGGCUCAUAUAGCACCUGUUUUCAGAGACAAUCAACAAUAUCAGCAGCAUAGCAAUAAUCAACAAUCACUUCAGCAAUAUCAGCAGCAACAGCACCGUCCGCAACAGCAGGCCUAUCAGCCUCGUAACAAUAAUCAAGCCAGCACGAGUUACGAGAGGAAGAAGAUCACUUUUGAUCCGAUUCCGAUGACAUACGCAGAAC
rnacentral:lncRNA from 1 species